rnacentral:lncRNA from 1 species
UGGAUGCGUAACAGUUACCUUUAUCCUGAAUCCAAUCAAUUAUGGUAGUUGAGUCCCCCUUAAUGUUGGAGCAAUCAGUUUUUAAAGUCAACUUAGCAUAGGUGAUACCGACGCAAAACGUUCUUUAAUAGAAUGAUUUUAAAUAUUGAUAUAAAAUUUAAAAUUUUAAAUAAUAUCUUCUGACUAUUUUUUUUAGAUAAAAUUUUGGAUUAUUUCAAAUAG